UACGUCGGGGGCAAGCGUUGUCCGGAUUUAUUGGGCGUAAAGAGCGUGUAGGCGGUCAGGUAGGUCCGUUGUGAAAACUCGAGGCUCAACCUCGAGACGCCGAUGGAAACCAUCUGACUAGAGUCCGGAAGAGGAGAGUGGAAUUCCUGGUGUAGCGGUGAAAUGCGCAGAUAUCAGGAAGAACACCCGUGGCUAAGGCGGCUCUCUAGUACGGUACUGACGCUGAGACGCGAAAGCGUGGGGAGCGAACAGG
rnacentral:rRNA from 1 species